UACGGUCACAUUACGUCGGAUCUACCAGUUCCCGUGUGGUCACUAAAGUUAAUCAAUUUGAAGCCUGGUCAGUACUUAGGUGGAUGACGGCGUGGGAAUACUAAGUGUCGUAU